rnacentral:misc_RNA from 1 species
UGGCGCCUUGCUUCAAAAAGGCUCGCGUCUCACCUCUCGCCUAAAGUCAUAGGGUACCUUGUUGCCUUUCACCUUAAUAACAUUGCCUCGUAUAUAGUUGAAAGACUUUAUCAGUGUAGAGAAAACUGAAGAAUUCAGAUUGCAAAAUCAAUGCACACAUGCUUCCUGAAGAUAAAGUUUCUCCAGUCCCUAUUCUUGUAAUCGAGUAUGUUAACCCUAAGUAAAUUUUAACUACUUGCACACUAUUUAUGCCAUGUGGGAAAGACAAAUGUGAAAUCCCAUUGUCAUUCCGCAUGGAAAUUUUGUACUUCUUGAGAUUUUCUUCUUGAGAUUUUCUUCUAUCCUUUUUCCCUUCAAAAUUUGUGAAAGUCUGUAAGUCACCAUUUCCACUGUCAACUUGCCAACCCCUUUUUCAACUGAAGAACUUUUUAUAGAAUAUCUCUAUAUUUCCAUUGUUAAGAUUUAAGAAUAAAAAGA